CAAUAGUAGAGCGACUCGGUGAGAUCGAUCUGUCUACAAUCCCCAGCGAGAAGGGGGCCCCUAAAGGGACGGCCUCUCUACAGACAGACAACUUUGCAGUGCUGCUGGUGCAGGGCCUGGAGAGCAACGACGCCAGCAUCCUAAAUAAAGUUUUUCAGACUCGUAAAGAGAUGGUGAUCAAGAAAACGGUUGCUCGGUUACCCCUCCCUGCUGUUUUACCCUUGGUGGAGGAGCUCACAAAGAGGCUCCAAGGGCACCCUUUCACGGCCGUUCUAAUGGUGCGGUGGCUCAAGGCUGUGCUCAUGCACCACACAUCAUACCUGGCAUCGGUGAGUCCGCUUUCCUGG